AUUGUGAGUUUAUUCAAGCCAUCUGAGACUAUUUCUUUGGUUCAUUUGGUAUUUGUUGGACGCAUAACUAGGGUGGUUGUUCGAUGAUAGAGGGAGGUUG